CACGUAGGGUGCGAGCGUUGUCCGGAAUUAUUGGGCGUAAAGAGCUCGUAGGCGGUGUGUCGCGUCGGCCGUGAAAACCUGCAGCAUAACUGUGGGCUUGCGGUCGAUACGGGCAUCACUGGAGUUCGGCAGGGGAGACUGGAAUUCCUGGUGUAGCGGUGAAAUGCGCAGAUAUCUGGAGGAACACCGGUGGCGAAGGCGGCAUCCUGGACCGGUAUUGACGCUGAGGCGCGAAAGCCAGGGGAGCAAACGGG
rnacentral:rRNA from 1 species